rnacentral:rRNA from 1 species
UACGGAGGGGGCCAGCGUUGCUCGGAAUCACUGGGCGUAAAGGGUGCGUAGGUGGUAAGGCAAGUCAGGUGUGAAAUCUCCGGGCUCAACCCGGAAAUGGCAUUCGAAACUACCUUGCUAGAGGGUUUGAGGGGGGACUGGAAUACUUGGUGUAGCAGUGAAAUGCGUAGAUAUCAAGAGGAACACCAGUGGCGAAGGCGAGUCCCUGGAAAACUCCUGACACUGAGGCACGAAAGCUAGGGGAGCAAACAGG